AGAUCCUGGGCUUGGAUGUGUCUCUUAUUAUCAGAAUUCCCACCCCGGGGAAAGGUUUGCUUUUCAAAAUAUCAGUUGAAAGUCACUCUAAGGAUGGAGCUGUCAUAGUUGUUUAUCUUGAAGGAAGACAAUACAGUGAAAAUAUGAGAAAGAACCAUUCUUUGACCUUGAGGCCCCUUUCCCAGCCAAGAUGAGCGUACAAAGGAUUCACUUUAAAAAGGAAACUAGCAAUUUGGCUCAUGUUGCUGUAAAACCACAUACAGCAAAACGCUCAUCUGCCUCCAGCAACAGUUCAUGACUUCCAGGCACCUCAGGCCUGAUUCAUCCAUUCCUCCAACCCAGGCUGGUUGCAGCUGACUGAUGAAUCCUGAGGAUGUACUUUGCACACCCCACAAAU